rnacentral:lncRNA from 1 species
CAGGAAGAGAAAAAAGCUAUUGGCCGAAUGAGGGCAAAUUUGCCGGUUGGCAGUCCAAGUCAUGGGCUCUCAGCAUAUUGGAGUGACAAAGAAGAAGAAAUCCCUAAGGGUCCGGUUAAUCCUUCACAGGUCUGAGCUUUCAGAUUAAUGGUUUUUUGUUACAUUUGAAUCUUAGACAGUUAAAACAACUUUCUUCUUUGCUAAAGGUACC